rnacentral:tRNA from 1 species
GCAUUAAUGGGGUAGUGGUAACCUGGGUCGUUGCCAUUUGCGAAAGCUCGACCCGCCGGGGGUUCGAUUCCCCCUUAAUGCA